rnacentral:rRNA from 1 species
GACGAACGCUGGCGGCGUGCUUAACACAUGCAAGUCGAACGAUGAAGCCGGAGCUUGCUCUGGUGAAUUAGUGGCGAACGGGUGAGUAACACGUGAGUAACCUGCCCUUGACUCUGGGAUAACUGCGGGAAACUGUAGCUAAUACCGGAUGCGUCCCUCGGAGGCAUCUCCUGGGGGUGGCAAGAAUUUCGGUCAAGGAUGGACUCGCGGCCUAUCAGCUAGUUGGUGAGGUAAAGGCUCACCAAGGCGACGACGGGUAGCCGGCCUGAGAGGGUGACCGGCCACACUGGGACUGAGACACGGCCCAGACUCCUACGGGAGGCAGCAGUGGGGAAUAUUGCACAAUGGGCGCAAGCCUGAUGCAGCAACGCCGCGUGAGGGAUGACGGCCUUCGGGUUGUAAACCUCUUUUAGCAGGGAAGAAGCGAAAGUGACGGUACCUGCAGAAAAAGCACCGGCUAACUACGUGCCAGCCGCCGCGGUAA